GCCGGAAUAGCUCAGUUGGGAGAGCGUUAGACUUAAGUUGUUUACGCAACAGUCAUCAAAUGCCCCCGGUUCAAUCCUGGGUUCCGGCA
rnacentral:tRNA from 1 species